rnacentral:rRNA from 1 species
UUUUGUGGGGUGACGGCGUGCCUAUCGAAAAAUGAGUCUGCGAGUCAGUGGCAUGUGGCGAGCAUAACCCGUGUGGGGUAUGCGUAGCGAAGGCGAGUCUUAAAAGGCGUUUAAAGUCGCGUGUCCUGGACCCGAAGCGGGAUGAUCUAGCCCUGAGCAGGUUGAAGCGCGGGUAAGACCGCGUGGAGGACCGAACCCACCUGGGUUGAAAACCGGGGGGAUGACUUGGGGCUAGGGGUGAAAGGCCAAUCAAAUUCCGUGAUAGCUGGUUCUCUCCGAAAUGCAUUUGGGUGCAGCGUCGGGUCAUUACGUCCCGGGGGUAGAGCUACUGGAUGCUUGCGGGCCCGUAUCGGGUACCAACAGCAACCAAACUCCGAAUACCGGUGACGCGUAUCCCGGCAGUGAGUCGGCGGGGGAUAAGCUUCGUCGUCGAAAGGGAAACAGCCCAGACCGUCGUCUAAGGUCCCGAAGCGUGUGCUAAGUGGGAAAGGAUGUGGAGUCGCAUAGACAGCCAGGAGGUUGGCUCAGAAGCAGCCACCCUUGAAAGAGUGCGUAACAGCUCACUGGUCUAGUGGUUCCGCGCCGACAAUGUAGCGGGGCUCAAGCACACCACCGAAGACGCGGCAGUAUUUUGUACUGGGUAGGAGAGCGUCCCAUGAGGGGCGAAGCGGCCGUGUGAACGCGCCGUGGACUUCAUGGGAGUGAGAAUGCAGACAUGAGUAGCGAGAGACGGGUGAAGAUCCCGUCCGCUGGAUGACCAAGGGUUCCAGGGCCACGUUCAUCGUCCCUGGGUGAGUCGGGUCCUAAGGCGAGGCCGACAGGCGUAGUCGAAUGGAUGAACGGGUCGAUAUUCCCGUACCGGCUUUCAGCCGCCAAAACCGAGGCUUGGAGUACUAACCUCCGGGUCCGGGCUUACUGCUCCUUCGGGGGCGGGAUGCCUUGGCCUGUUGGGACCGAUCCUUGUAGUAGGUCAGCGCAGGAGUGACGCAGAAGGGUAGCCGGCCGCGGAGGUGGUCUUCCGUGGUCAAGCACGCAGGGCGUGGGACAGGCAAAUCCGUCCCGCAUGGGUCCGAGGUGCGAUGAUGGGGGCCUUAUGGCCCGAUAUCCGGUGAUCCCGGCUGCCGAGAAAAGCUUCGGCGUCAGGCUCAAAGCCGCCCGUACCCCAAACCGACACUGGUGGUCAGGUAGAGAAUACCAAAGCGAUCGAGCGAAUCCUGGUCAAGGAACUCGGCAAAUCACUCCCGUUCCUUCGGUUUAAGGGAGACCCCCGAUGGUGAACACACUUGCUGUGGGAGCUUUUGGGGGUGGCACAGACCAGGGGGUAGCGACUGUUUACCAAAAACACAGGUGCAUGCGAAGGCGCAAGCCGCUGUAUAUGCACUGACGCCUGCCCGGUGCCGGAAGGUUAAGAGGAUCCGUCAGCCUUCGGGUGAAGCGGUGAAUUCAAGCCCCGGUAAACGGCGGUGGUAACUAUAACCAUCCUAAGGUAGCGAAAUUCCUUGUCGGGUAAGUUCCGACCUGCACGAAUGGCGUAACGACUUCCCCACUGUCUCGACCAGGAGCUCGGCGAAAUUGCAGUACGAGUAAAGAUGCUCGUUAAGCGCAGAAGGACGAAAAGACCCCGGGACCUUUACUAUACCUUGGUAUUGGCAUUCGGUGUGGAUUGUGUAGCAUAGGCGGGAGGCCGAGAGGCGCGGUCGCCAGAUCGCGCGGAGCCGUAAGGUGAAAUACCGCUCUGUUCGCAUUGGAUGUCUAACCUCGAACAGUCAUCCUGUUCAGGGACAGUGCCUGGCGGGUAGUUUAACUGGGGCGGUUGCCUCCCAAAGAGUAACGGAGGCGCCCAAAGGUCCGCUCAGCCCGGUUGGCAAUCGGGUGGCGAGUGCAAGUGCACAAGCGGGCUUGACUGCGAGGACGACGGUCCGAGCAGGGACGAAAGUCGGGACUAGUGAUCCGGUGCCGGUGUACGGACGCGGCAUCGCUCAACGGAUAAAAGGUACCCCGGGGAUAACAGGCUGAUCAUUCCCAAGAGUCCAUAUCGACGGGAUGGUUUGGCACCUCGAUGUCGGCUCGUCGCAUCCUGGGGCUGGAGCAGGUCCCAAGGGUUCGGCUGUUCGCCGAUUAAAGCGGCACGCGAGCUGGGUUCAGAACGUCGUGAGACAGUUUGGUCUCUAUCCUCUGCGCUCGUUGGAAUGCUGAGGAGGCCUGCCCAUAGUACGAGAGGACCUGGGUGGACGAACCUCUGGUAUGCCGGUUGUCACGCCAGUGGCACGGCCGGUUGGCUACGUUCGGAAGGGAUAACCGCUGAAAGCAUCUAAGCGGGAAGCCUGCUCCAAGAUAAGCAUUCCGUGGAACCUUCGAGUUCCUGUAGUCCCCAUGCAGAACACGUGGUCGAUAGGCCGGACGUGGAAGCCCCGCGAGGGGUGGAGCCGACCGGUACUAACGGACGAAAGGCAACACUGA